GCAAACUUGGUCAUUUAGAGGAAGUAAAAGUCGUAACAAGGUUUCCGUAGGUGAACCUGCGGAAGGAUCAUUGCUGAUGCCGGCGACAGUGCGUGGUCGUUCACAAGACGACGUGGCACUGCCGCUUCACACAUCAAUAUGCCCCUUUCAGUGAACCCGGCAUUGGAGGCUGAGAGCGAGUGAGCUUUGGGGCCCAUUCGCCUUUCCCCGGUACCCUGUCACAAGGGUGAGCACAAGGGAUAGGUCUCCUCUGCCAAAACAACAUGUCUUCUCUAACCUGUAUCCCAGACUGAAGCAAAAAAAACAAUAACAUUCUUACAACUUUUAACAAUGGAUAUCUUGGCUCGCGCAUCGAUGAAGAACGCAGC
rnacentral:misc_RNA from 1 species